AGAUUGAACGCUGGCGGCAGGCCUAACACAUGCAAGUCGAGCGGCAGCGGGAAGUAGUUUACUACUUUGCCGGCGAGCGGCGGACGGGUGAGUAAUGUCUGGGAAACUGCCUGAUGGAGGGGGAUAACUACUGGAAACGGUAGCUAAUACCGCAUAACGUCUUCGGACCAAAGUGGGGGACCUUCGGGCCUCACGCCAUCGGAUGUGCCCAGAUGGGAUUAGCUAGUAGGUGGGGUAAUGGCUCACCUAGGCGACGAUCCCUAGCUGGUCUGAGAGGAUGACCAGCCACACUGGAACUGAGACACGGUCCAGACUCCUACGGGAGGCAGCAGUGGGNGAUAUUGCACAAUGGGCGCAAGCCUGAUGCAGCCAUGCCGCGUGUGUGAAGAAGGCCUUCGGGUUGUAAAGCACUUUCAGCGAGGAGGAAGGCAUAAAG
rnacentral:rRNA from 1 species